CGCUAGCCCCGAUAGAAGCGGAUAUCCUUUUACUUUUUUCUUUAAAAAGGAAAAGAUAUAAGCGAAUAGCGGGAUUAAGC
rnacentral:sRNA from 1 species